GGGGUGUGCUCAGAGCAGGGGGCCCCAAGAGUGGCUUCUCUGUUUAUAACACACCCGAGAGGAAUCUGGGUUCGUUGUGACAGGGGGCACACAGCUUGUGGCCUUCCUAUAAACAAUCGCCCUACAUGG